rfam:Fukomys damarensis contig127787, whole genome shotgun sequence.
GGGGACAUAACUCAGUGGUAGCGCACUUGCCUGUCAUGCAGGAAGCCCUCGGUUCAAUCCCAGGUAACACUA